CCAUAACUCAUACGAUCACCGAAUUUAAGCAACGUUCAGUCCGGUCAGUUCUUGGAUGGGUGACCGCUUGGGAAUAUCACGUGCUGUU